UACGGAGGAUGCGAGCGUUAUCCGGAUUUCUUGGGUUUAAAGGGUGCGUAGGCGGACUGUUAAGUCAGCGGUAAAAGCCCGGGGCUCAACCCCGGCGAGCCGUUGAAACUGGCGUUCUUGAGUGAGCGAGAAGUAUGCGGAAUGCGUGGUGUAGCGGUGAAAUGCAUAGAUAUCACGCAGAACGCCGAUUGCGAAGGCAGCAUACCGGCGCCCAACUGACGCUGAGGCACGAAAGCGUGGGGAUCGAACAGG
rnacentral:rRNA from 1 species